rnacentral:lncRNA from 1 species
CUCCGUCCCUACUUAUUUGCUGAACUGACUGGCUAACACAGAAGUCAGAACAACCAUUAUUUAUGACCAGUGACCAAUUCAUUUAUUGGCAGUGAAUUAGUACAAAGGUGUGCCAAAUUAAAAAUUGUUGAGGCCUAUAUUCUAGUUCAAGCGUAAACAUUCUCCCACUCUCUUUGAAAGUCUUGCAAAUAUAUUUUUAUUUCUCUUCGGUAAUUGCUCAUUCUUGACAACAAGUGAUGGCUCCACCUCCAUCUUCACAUCAGGUGAUGGCUCCCUUUUCACAUUAGACGAUGGUUGCACUUCCAGUUCAGGUAAUGGCUCAUUCUUGACGACAAGUGAUGGCUCCAUCUUCACAUCAGGUGAU